UACGAAGGGGGCUAGCGUUGCUCGGAAUCACUGGGCGUAAAGCGCACGUAGGCGGCUUCUUAAGUCAGGGGUGAAAUCCUGGAGCUCAACUCCAGAACUGCCUUUGAUACUGAGGAGCUUGAGUCCGGGAGAGGUGAGUGGAACUGCGAGUGUAGAGGUGAAAUUCGUAGAUAUUCGCAAGAACACCAGUGGCGAAGGCGGCUCACUGGCCUGGUACUGACGCUGAGGUGCGAAAGCGUGGGGAGCAAACAGG
rnacentral:rRNA from 1 species